rnacentral:rRNA from 1 species
GACGAACGCUGGCGGCGUGCUUAACACAUGCAAGUCGAACGGUGAAGCGCCUUCCUUUUUGGUGGGUGUGGAUGAGUGGCGAACGGGUGAGUAACACGUGAGUAACCUGCCCCCUUCUUCUGGAUAACCGCAUGAAAGCGUGGCUAAUACGGGAUAUUCUGGGUCUGUCGCAUGUUGGGUCUGGGAAAGAUAUUGUUUCGGUGGGGGACGGGCUCCCGGCCUAUCAGCUUGUUGGUGGGGGGAUGGCGUACCAAGGCGGUGACGAGUAGCCGGCCCGAGAGCGCUGACCGUCACACUAGGACUGAGACCCGGCCAAGACUCCUGCGGGAGGCGGCAGUGGGAAAUAAUGCACACUGGGCGCAAGCCUGAUACAGCGACGCCGCGUGAGGGAUGGAGGCCUUCGGGUUGUAAACCUCUUUCGCCAGUGAAGCAGGCCUGCCUCGUUUGUGGGUGGGUUGACGGUAGCUGGAUAAGAAGCGCCGGCUAACUACGUG